UGGUUUUGUAUGGAUUUGGUCAAUUCACUUAUUAAAGCAGUUUUCUAGGUGGAAAAUAAUGUGAAGACCAGGAGGGUAAGUGGAGCAGAGUGCUUCUUAUGCCAAUGGGACAAUGGGAAACUCAAGACUAAACCUCUAACAUUGUUAGAUAGUUCAAACCUGACUGGCAUAAAGAAAGUGGAUCCGCACUCCAAAGUAAGCUGGGUGUCCUAUCUACGCAGAUAGGGUCAACAAGGUCCUUUCCGACAAACACAAAAGUCCCCCAAAUCUCAAUAGCAUGGGGGUUAAUGAUGAGGUGGGAGGUCACUCAGGAACUUAGGGCAGCUUCUGGAAAGCAAACUGUCACCUGGCCUGCAGGAACAGGGCAGGCUUCUGGAGAUGAUGUUUAGAUGGCCUGGGGAGUGCAAACAAGGAACAAGCAGGUGGAGAGCAGAAGGGUAUGACAGAUGCAGGGAACAACCGAGCCAGGACACAGAAGUGUAUGC
rnacentral:lncRNA from 1 species